AUGCAAACAUUGAAAAUAGCUGGUCACAAUACGCUUCAUGAUCCAGCUGCCAAAUCACCACGUGGAUGCCUCUGAGAUAUCCUGCAGAUAAGCCACCAUGCAAAAUAAAGGCACAUAUGGCUCACAAGCGCAGGAGCUGUACAGAAAGGCUCAUUGACAGAAGAUUGCAAGGCUGGCUUUGGAACGGAACUCAAGAUGUGCUGAAAUAUCCCAUUAUCAAAUUCAGUGAAAUCCCCAUAGUGGAUGGUGACUGAAUGUUUUCCACACACUGUUACUAUAGAAAAAGCUAAAAAGUAGCAAAACAUAUCAAAAACCUUUAUUCUUGCCAUCUCUUCCUGCUGGCUCUAGGAAGCAUAAGGCAAACUUUGCAUGGCUGCGUUUUUUGGGUCUCUACCUCUCCUUUAUUAGCAGAGAUGUUUGUUCAGGCUGAACAAAGGGUAAGAAAAAUCUACAUAGGUUAUUUACAUAGGUUAUGUUACCGUAACUACUCUGUUGGAAGUGUGAACUUCCACCGAUUUAUUAUGGGUUUGGCAGUGGUAUUUUUCCUGGUAAACUUCAAGAGCUGGUUCAGCUCUUGAUCUCUGUUUUGAUACUUUUUUAGAUCCUGCUCUUUCAGGGUAACUCAAGUAAUACCCCUUUCAAAGAUAUAUCUUGAUAGCAUUUUAUACCUUAUAAUCAUGCUUUUUAUUAUCAUGUCCCUCUGCUCAGGUCUACCUAUUAUUUUCUAGAUUUGCAUGAUUUGUGGUCUCUCACUUUCUCUUUGAUUGAAUACAUCUAUUAUUUCACAUUGCUGUUCUUUUUAUUGCUUUACCUGGCUAUUGCCAAAAUAUUUCUCAUAAUAUGGCGACCAAAAAAUCUGUACAACCCAAAGCAGAUAAAGAAUCACAAGAACAGAGAAUGUUAAGAAGUCAGCCUGACAUUUAGGAAAGCUGAUUUCCAUUAAGUCUCAGUUAUAUGCUUGUUAUAUGACUUUAUCUAGGCACCUCCAUUACUAAGAUGCCCCUGACAUCUUUAAACCAUGUCAAGUAAUGCCCAAAUCUGUUUACUGUGCAAGCUUACCUGGGUAUUAGGGUUCACAACUUCAGCUUGGCUUGAAGACCUUCCACAAGCUGAAGCUGAAUCCUCAAAUAAGGUGUUCUUGCAGCUACCUUACUACAACAAACCAGUCCUGAUACUGCAGGGAACACUCUGUGAUAGGGACUGAAUAUACGGUGGAGGAGCCACCAAGGCGUAAUCCUCCUAUAUAUAGCCUAUCAGUUAUCCUCUCUGUGAUGUUAGAAAUCUGCUUUUUAAUCCCUGGUCAACUUGAAGAGGAUCAACUGGAGCAGUUGUCCUGUUCUCUCCUAUUUUUGUUGUCUGUACUGCAUCUUAUGUCACAUAAAACUUAAGAGUUUUCUGCCCUGAUGUUAAUUUACUUACCCUAUUCUGCAAGAACUACAAAAAUUCUGCCUCCUUGAAUCAGAAUCUUUAGAGAAUUUUCAUAAUUAAUGAAAUUUGAUCUAUGAAGUUUUUCAUCUUCCUUAAAUAAAAUAAGUAUAAUGCAGCUAGUUAGGGACAGAGUUUUCCUCUAACAAGAAAUUAAUUAUUUCUGCUCUUAUUUUCAUCCUGAUUUAGAAUGAAACGGCAAAGUAUCAACAUUUCUCCUGCACUGGAAACUUAUGAAUACUAGAAUCAUUCUAAUAUUAGUUUUUAUGUUCAUACUUGCUAACAUAUUGGAAUUGAAAGUUUCUGGGAAAACCGUCUGGGAUACUCUGAACAGAAAGAUAUGUGCAUGUAACUUGACAAGCACAGGAGUAAUGGCUAUUUGUCUGGCAUUUCUGGCUGUCCAGCAGCUCAAUCUUAGUUACUUUCAUGGGUCCAUUGGGGAUGUGAUCAUUUGGGAAAAGGACAAAAACAUCCAGUGGACAGAGAAAGGACUUGUAAAAGCAUUAACCUAGUCUCAAAAGUGGGAGAAUUGAUGGAUAAGAGUAUUCCCAUUACAAAGUUUUCGUUUUGUUCAUCAAGCUACUGUCUGAUGCUUUCUUCUCAAUUUGAUGCAAACCUGAAUACCAUGAGGCUUCAUUACAGUUCCAAUUGCACUACGAGCUCCAAAUGUUGGGUAAGUUAAAUCUCUCAUGAUGCAGUCUCGUCUUGGAGUUUUAGUUAUGCAUUCAACCACAACGGAAACCAAAGUGCUUUGUGAGAGAUAUAAUUCAAUCAGUGAUUACUCCUAGUAAAACAGGGCUGUAACUCAUCCAAACUGAAAAUGCUGUGAGUCUCUGUAGUGCCUCAGGUGGGGCAAGCAAAUAUUGAACACCCUUGAAAUGUUUUUUAAUUUCAUUUUUACAAAUCAAAAUGUCAAGAGUGAAAUUCACUCGUUCCAAAAUAAAAUAUUGUAUUCAGAAUUCCUUAAAACAAAAUUGAAAUUAAGACAUGGAAAAUUUUUCAUUAUAAAAAAUUUGGACAGAAACUUUCCAAUGAGCUUUGAAGUUUAUUCCAAGCACCUUUCAAUCACUAUCAGCAGCUGAACCCUUUAGCCAACUUCUCUGUUAGUAACAAUGUUAAAGGGAGCAUAUUAAUUCUUGGAUCUCAUUCUGUCCCUUCUAACAAUCUGCAUUCAUCAGGAAAUUAAUGAAGGAUAAUUAUUAAUGAUUUUCUCCAGUCUUUACAGUUAAUACUGCACCUCAGAUUGACUCAGCGGAGAGAAAGUGAGACAUUUCUCAUCUUGUAUCUCCCUAGUGAUGUAAACUGGCACAAGAGAUAGCAGCAUGACUUAAAUGUGUUACUGCUAAAUACCCAAAUCUUUGGAUAUAAAUUAGUCAGAGGUGACAUGAGAGCCACUAAAUCACUUGUCUCUAGAACACCUUUCUAUUGUGAUGUGAUGAGCUCACUAUCAGCGUGUGGAUACUAUGAGUAAGAAACCAGUAUUAUUAUUCCCCUGGAAUUAUACCCACACUGUCUCUAUUAAAAUUGGCAUAGUAUUAUACUGCAGUUGCCAUAGUACAGUUUUAAAGUUUUACAGUGGUAAUUGUAGCAAAAUAAGGUAGACUGUGGUGCAAUUCAAUGGCUGUAAUUGGGAUGUGACAUGAAGGAACAGUGUAUGAAUACCACUGGAAACAGAAUACAAGUGAAGACGGUGGUAUGGAGAACUAAAGGCUAGUUGGAGACAAUGGAAGUUGAAUGCAAAUUUAUGCAACAACACAAAAGUCUGUGCUAACUCUCAAAGAGCAGGGAAAUAUGACAAGAAAUGAAGUAAAUGAGACCUGUGGUAGAAGAAGGAGGAAGGGAAUAUGACUGAGAAGAAUUCAAGGAAGAAAUAAUAAAAGAGGAGGAGUCAGUCAUAGAGGCCAAAGACAUUUAAUUCCUGACAAUUCAAGUUUCUCUAAUUUUCCAGAAGUUACUGCCUUCCCAUCUUUGUAAAUCCCACAUCUGCAUUUCCUUUCAUACUGCUACGGUUAUGCUGAAUAAAAAUGGCUUUUUAUCCCUUUAAAAAGGCAGCUGACUGCAGUGUUUGUUGCACAGUACAUUGGUUAUCAUUAUGUCAGGAUUAUGGGAAGAGCUUAGUAUGACUUACACAAAAAGAAUACUUUUUUCGCUCCAAACACAGCUAGAGAAUGCUAAGGGAAACACAAAGAUGAGAAUUCAGAGUUAUCAGGAAAAUCAGCUACUUUCUAUGCAUCUUCAAAAAUUGAGGUAUACUACAGAAAUGAUUUUCUAUGUGUAAUUCUUUCAAACACUUGUACAUUGUACCAUCUGACCUAGAGUUCUAUUUCCAUUUCACCUUUUAAUCUUUACAAAACACCACAUAGUAUCACCAUCUACUUUCAAGUAGUGGUCAUAUUUUAACCCAUUCCUUUGCAAGAGAGAACAGCUGAUUUACAUGAAUAAGUGUACUCACAUUUACAGCUAUUUCCUGGGCUAAGUGAUACUAUAAAUUAAGAGAAUUGUCUCAACUUUAACAAAUGUAGAAGGCUUUCUCAGAGGAAAACUGUUAAGAUUCUGGAAGUCCUGUAAGUCCUUUCUUUGUAAAAAGGCAGGAGGCACUCUCUUCCCAAAAGUUCGGUUCUCUCUGUUGUUUUUAAAGUCAGAAGUUCAAUAAAUAUGCACCAAUUUCAGAACUCAAUUUUCCUGUUUGCUUGCAGGAAAGAGCUUCACUAUAUGACGCACUUAAAACACAUGCACACAGAUGUGCACAGACAUCUUUAUUCUUAGCUUCCCCUCCCAAAUAAUUAAAAACAAAAUCGAUGAAAUUGAGUUACAGAACAUUAUGGUUGUUUGAUUUCUAAUAAAUAGAUUGAAUGACCUUCAAGAAUGUUGCAAGUUUCUUAACAAAAUAAGCAAGAGGAGAAGUACUGUGCGCCUCCCUAUAUUACUCUGUGGUAGAAUUACUCCUUCAUCUGCAGCCAAAGAUUGGAGAUGCCUAUGAUUACUUCUUGUUUCUCUUAACUGCAAGAAUUAAGGGCUUUGGAUUAAAUUAUUAGGCAUCAGCCUAAAACAAACAAAAGGUACUUUUCAUGUAAUGCCUAGCUAAACUGCAGAAAUCAGUGGUACAGAAUGUUGUGAAUGACAGCAUUUCAUAAGGAUAAUUUCAAAAGUGAUUACAUUUUCAGUAGAAGCUCUAUUAAAGACAAAGUCCUGCAGAACUAAUCUUGCCCUUGAUAAUCCUCCUCCCCCAAAUAUCCACUGUUGGCUACUUUGGAGUCAGGAAACUGGGCUAACUGCAUUUUCACAGGACUCUAUACAGUCAUUCCGAUAAUAUGUUCCAUGAUCACAAAUCUAUGUGCAGAGAAAGUUCUUUCAGUUUCUGACACACAUGGUCUUUUGAUGAUCAUGACAAAUACAAUGUUGUUUGGUGCAGUUUAUAAAAACUGUGAGUAACCCCAGAAACUCUAGAGAUAAAAAGCAGUACCAACCCAUUCACUCCUAACAUUGCAAUACUCAUUCUACUAAAGUUUCAGAACUAGUUAUUUUUCACAUGGAUCAUCUUCCUUUCAUCUUUUAAAAUGCCAACUUGUCCUCUCAGUUUCAGAUGACCCCUUUAAGGUGUAAUGAGAAUAUUAUAGGGCUUGGAAGACUUGAAUGCACUGCUUGUUGCUAUGGUGUAACAAAUGAUCACUUCAGAACAUUACCACUGCAUUCUUUUACCGUGCAUAAUUUUGCACUUAACAUUUACAUCAUUAAAUCUUAAAGUUCAUUCAAAUACAUAAUUUAAUACAAGUGUUUUUCACCUAUACAGUCUUUCUAUUUGACUGAAAGAAACUGAAGAGUUCAGAAGAGAAGUGCACAUAAUUUAACUCUUGGGUAAUCAUUCAGACUCAUGGAAACUAAAUGCAAUCCUUUCACUUUAGCUAAGCUGUACGUUCUUAUGUCAGAUUUAUCAGUGGCCAAGAACUUGUUCUAUGCAUGCUCUUAAAAAAGAAAGAAGUGGACCAUAUUCCCUGUAUUACAAGAUAACAUUCAUUAUACUAUGUUCUCCAAUUUAUAAAAGCAUAGCUACCUUCACAGGAAUCAGCUGAGGAUCAUGCUUAAUUUACACUGUUGUAGCUGAAACACCACUUUUGACCUGCAGGUGUUCUAUAUUUUAUUGUAUUUUAUCAUCCAUAAACAUCCUUGCUUCAGAAACUGUUGUUAAUAUGUUUUUGCAUUCCUUUCUCGUGCAAAGGUGCUUAAGUUUAAGUGCAGUACAUCAAAGAAGAACCCAUUCUAGUGCCAAGACAACUUUAAAAGGAAAGCAUUUUGUUUCUUACUGAUUAAAGACUGUUAUGGAAAAGAAGAUAGAAGAAGGACAAAAGAUUACCAAAUGAAUUCUAUAUAAUUCUCUACUGUUGCAUGAAGACUGAAGCCUCUUAUGGCCUGAAUACUUGAGAAAGGAUUUCUAUCAUUUGACUGUCUCCACAUAUGCUUCCUUAGACCUCAAGCCAAGAAGGACUGACUGUGUGUCUCAAGGCAACCUUUCAUGGAAUCAGAACUAUCUAAUGAUCUCUGUAUUUUGGAAUUUUUUCAUGUUUAAGCUCUCUAACAUCUUGGGUGGAUCUCCAAGAAUAUCUCACCUUUCUGCUGAAGGAUUGAUUUUUAAAUAGACAUUAGGAUGCUAUACUAAAUAUUUUGGCUGAUCAGUCAAUAUCAUUAUUUUUGUCCUUCUUCAUGAGAAGAAGGACAGCUUCUGAGCAUGCUAUUGGCAAUGAUGAUCCCAGCUAUUUUCUUAGAAGUUUGUUGAAAGAGUUAAAUCACGCACGUUACCCUUCAGAUGGUGAAACUUUAGUUUGAUUUCAUGCAGAUAUUAAAGCAGAUAAGUGCUAGUGGAUACAUGAAAACUACAAUGUAAUUCCUACAUAAUUAUACAUUAAUUUCAUUUACAUGAAGUCACAGUCCUAUUGGUUUUGCCAUUAAUAUCCAAUAUAUACAUUGUGGGAAAUUUUAUCACAAAAGUCAAGCUGAAAAAUGUAAUUUUUAUAUCCACAGUGGGCUGCCUCUUCUAUUCUUAUUAUACUAGGCAUAUUUUUACAUUAAGGAGACAAUUAGAGUCAAUUCAUUCAAUGUUAUUAAGAUAAGCUGUAUUUUACUGUAAUCCAAGGAUGUAUAAGAAUGUAACCCUUAUCAUAUAUUUUUAUGUCUUACUGCUUCGAUAAAAAAUAAAUUUCUUUCUGCACUUUUUAUACAGAAUCUUAAGAUAACAUUUAAUAUAAAAGAACUUUCUUUUAUAAAGACAGGAUGCAGAAAAUCUCUCUGUGCCACUGCUGAAGUGGAUUUAACCCUGUAGAAGUUGGCACAAAGAGAAACAAUAGUGCCGGAAAGAUCUGCUGGGAUUUCCCACCAAAUAUAGCCCUACUUAGAGCACUGUUAAGCCUAAAGGCAGGGUCAUCGUACACUUCUUACACAAAAACUUCAAAUUUGCAGAAUUGCUUUGCUCUGAUUAUUUCCAAAAGCCUAGCCAAUCCCUAAGAGAGAUGUCAAAUUGAAAGGGAAAAGAGAAAAUUGGUGGAAAUGUAAACUCCUUUUCUUUUAAAUACAAAUAUUUUUUUCGUGUAUGAUAUAUGUGGAGCAGAGAAGGUUUCAUAGGAGGAAGAGUGGGAUAUUGCAGAAACCACCAUAAGGAAGGUGCAUAUACGAUGACAGACAUUUCACCUGUCAUGGGCAAAACGGCCUUGAAUUCACUUAAUUUAUUUCCAAUUUCACUUAAAUUUCACCUAAUUUAUUUCCAAUUAACAUAAGCUUUUGAUUACUAAUUUCCAUAUUGAGACACAACGAGGACAUAAACAGUUAAACAAAUACUUCAGGCAAUGCCUUCUGUCCUCCCUUCCCCAGGCUUAACUUUAGUCUCAUGACACUCCUCCCUCCUUUCUGGUGUUCCUGUCCCUUCAGUUGGCCGCCCCUCACACUCUGGCCCUUCAGGAGGCAACAGGCAAUGCCGGUGGUUGGGGUCGGUAUGCAACGGUCUCUUUUUGCCUUCCUGCCUCACACUCUUCUCUUCUGAUGCCCCAGUGGGGUUUCCCCAGGGGCCACAGUGCCCUCGCAGUGCCCCUGCCCCAACCGGGGGUCCCCAAGGGCCUCAGUCCCCUCAGAGGCGUACCUCCCACGACUCCAUAUCUGCUCAUGUCUUUCCUUUUUUGGGUCCUCAGGUGUCCUCUCACAGUUACACAUUAGUUCUGUAUGAGUAGACUGUUUAGUCCAGUCAUGUUUUUACUCUUGCUGUUGAACUGUGGGUAAGCACCGUUAGAAACUGUUUUGAAACCCCCUGGUUUGAAUCAGUGACCUUGCAACUUUGCUCACCAGUGUCUUUGGAUUUAGAAGAUCAAGUUGUUUUUCCAUGUCACCCUCCUUUGAUAUGUUCCUGGGCAAUAUGCUCUAGAGGACCCUGCUUGAGCAGGGAGGUUGGACUAGAUGAUCUCCAGAGGUCCCUUCCAACCUACACAAUUCUGUGAUUCUGUAGUACAGCAACUUUAUUCUAAAACUAAGUUCUGAGUGUAGGGAUUUUUUAUUUUACUUUUGUUUUUAUAAACCACCAAUGAUGUAAGAAACAGAAUGGCUUAAAUUUCAGACCCAAGCUGGCAUUCUGUGAUUCUGUUCCCAAUAAUAUUGCAUUUGAUAGCCUUCUCUGUUAAGCCAGGAUAAUGAUGUAUGAAGAUAAAUCACGCUCCACAUGUGCUGUUUGUGGCAUUAGGAUAGAUUCUUUAAAUAAUAGUUACAGUAGUAGAAUUUUUGCCAUUAUGACCUUAGCAAAUUAAGCUUGAGUGGAAGAUCCUCUAAGAUAAGUCACCAGUUUAUUGCAAGUAAUUGUGGCAAAAAGAACAUGUAUCAGCUGGUAGUCUCUCAAGAGAACUCAAUAAGCCUGCACUGCUUAACCAUAAAGGAUUGGAUUUAGGUUUUUUUGGCACUCAGUGUAGCAUCCUCUGGCUUUUAUUCAUCAGAUCUUUGCUAACAUUUUGAGGAAUUUUCCCAUAUAAUUUGACUGUGAGUGGAAGUGUUGCUGAAUUAUUAACAUGUUGCUCUUUUUGAACAGCAAGUUCUAGUUCACUCUAGGUUAACAUUACCCCAAGAGUAAUAAUGAAAAGUAAUUAUUAGAUUAUCAGUUUGAUGCAGCCUUUGUUUUUCAUGUGAUCUGGUAUAAUUUCCAGAACAAAGCCGUAGCUCUGACACUUAAAUUUAAGAUGGAAAAAACCUGUAAUAAGUCAUAGGAAGUAUAAAUGCCAGAGGCUGUAUAACAUUUAACAGUUUUUGUUAGCAUUAUAUUUAGAUAAAAUAAGUUUACAACUCAGUAAGACUUUAUAAGGAAACUUAUGCAGUUUGAUUUUUGAUAGCAUAGCCAUAUCUACAAAUACAACGAACUGCAGUUUAGGCACACUGAUUGUUUGCAGUAUGGGUGGGGAGAGGGAUCUACAGAUGAAUUGGUUUAGAGCUCCAUGCUGUGACUUAUACAUUAAUCAUGAAGCAUCAUGCUUAUGCAAAUGUGUAGAAGCCCAAUUAGGCAUGCAGAAUAGAACACUGGGAAUAAUGUUGUGGGCUAUUGGGCCUCUGAAAUAUACUCCUUGGCCAAAUUUUCAAAAGCAAAGCAAAUCUGAUAUGCCUUUUUACUUUUGAAAACAGGUGUACAAUUGUCUUCUUGGUGCUUAUUUCAUGCCUUCAACCUUAAAAAAAAGCUUUAUCCCAGUUGGUAUGAUUUUUUCCUAGUCACUGAAGAGUAGCAGUGGAAAUUCUGAAUCACUGACAAGAAAAUAAAAUGUUCAUUCAGAACACGACGUGCUGAGAAUGUUGAGAAUCCUUCAAUAUUUGGAAUUUUUUUGCUGUGCGUUUUGAGCAUUCUAUCUUGUGGAAAUAUUGAGGCUUAAUUUGGCAUUUCUUCCUUCUUGCUACAACAUGUGAUUAAUCAAAAUAUUCUAAUUUGCAUUCUGAAAAUCCAAUGUCUUAAAUGCAAAUAUGCAGAAUAUUAAGGAUACCACUUUAGAAUGCAAGGUUUCAUUGCACAAAUUAAUUCACAUUCUUGUCCAGAAAUUAUUCUUUAACAAAAUUACCAGUGUAUGUCUUCUUCCAUAGCUAUUUGUCAGGUUUUCUUCACAUUUAUAAAUAGGAUUUGGGAAAAAUAAAAUUGUAAUUCAUUUACCUUUUGGAAACUGCUCUAUACAAAAAAAAUUAGUACUAACAACUGAUAUCACUAGUGGUUUGGUAAGUGCGGCACAAGGUCUUUUACGAUGAAGCAUUCCUGGAAUAAUGUACC